rnacentral:lncRNA from 1 species
CACAGCAUAGAGAUGUUUCUAUUUUUUCUGUUUCUUCAGGCACGUGCCACACCAAUACUCUGUAGUUGGCAACUCAAGCAAACUGCUGCAAAACUGAGGGAGACCACACAUCAUUGAUCUCUUGCUUCCCUGACAAAGUGAUUUAGAAUUUCUGCGCAAGCAAGGCAAGUGAAGACCUCUUUUCAAAAGAAAAGGUAAGUCCCCAGGACUGAAACGUCUCUAGGCAUGAAAACUUCUUAAAAUA